AGCGAACGCUGGCGGCAGGCCUAACACAUGCAAGUCGAACGGCUCUUCGGAGCAGUGGCGGACGGGUGAGUAACGCGUGGGAACGUGCCCUUUGGUUCGGAACAACACAGGGAAACUUGUGCUAAUAACGGAUUUGCACUUCGGGGGAAAGAUUUAUCGCCAUUGGAGCGGCCCGCGUUGGAUUAGGUAGUUGGUGGGGUAAUGGCCUACCAAGCCGACGAUCCAUAGCUGGUCUGAGAGGAUGAUCAGCCACACUGGGACUGAGACACGGCCCAGACUCCUACGGGAGGCAGCAGUGGGGAAUCUUGCGCAAUGGGCGAAAGCCUGACGCAGCCAUGCCGCGUGAAUGAUGAAGGUCUUAGGAUUGUAAAAUUCUUUCACCGGGGAAGAUAAUGACGGUACCCGGAGAAGAAGCCCCGGCUAACUUCGUGCCAGCCGCCGCGGUAA
rnacentral:rRNA from 1 species